UCGCACCUACGGGAGGCAGCAGUGAGGAAUAUUGGUCAAUGGGCGAGAGCCUGAACCAGCCAUGCCGCGUGCAGGACGACGGCUCUACGAGUUGUAAACUGCUUUUGUACCGGGGUAAAAUGCCUUACGAGUAGGGUUUUGAAAGUACGGUACGAAUAAGGAUCGGCUAACUCCGUGCCAGCAGCCGCGGUAAUACGGAGGAUCCAAGCGUUAUCCGGAUUUAUUGGGUUUAAAGGGUGCGUAGGCGGAUUGAUAAGUUAGAGGUGAAAUGUCCGAGCUUAACUCGGGAACUGCCUCUAAUACUG
rnacentral:rRNA from 1 species